rnacentral:sRNA from 8 species
UAUUCUGCCCCAUGGGGAAGGAUGAGAAGCUUCGACUAAGGUUCGACUCGAGCGCCAGCGAGAGAACGUUGCCACAGGCAACGGCCCGAAGGGCGAGGCGCUUUAGCGCCGAGUAAUCCUUCCCCCACCACCA